AACGAACGCUGGCGGCAUGCCUAACACAUGCAAGUCGAACGGGAUCCUAGCUUGCUAGGUGAGAGUGGCGGACGGGUGAGUAACACGUGGGAAUCUGCCUUUUGGUUCGGGAUAACCGCGGGAAACUGCGGCUAAUACCGAAUGCCCUCGAGAGAGGAAAGAUUUAUCGCCAGAAGAGGAGCCCGCGUCCGAUUAGGUAGUUGGUGGGGUAAAGGCCUACCAAGCCGACGAUCGGUAGCUGGUCUGAGAGGAUGAUCAGCCACACUGGGACUGAGAUACGGCCCAGACUCCUACGGGAGGCAGCAGUGGGGAAUAUUGGACAAUGGGGGCAACCCUGAUCCAGCAAUGCCGCGUGAGUGAUGAAGGCCUUAGGGUUGUAAAGCUCUUAUGCCAGGGAAGAUGAUGACUGUACCUGGAGAAUAAGCCCCGGCUAACUUCGUGCCAGCAGCCGCGGUAAU
rnacentral:rRNA from 1 species